rnacentral:rRNA from 14 species
UUGAAGAUAUAGUAUCCGCAAGGAGGCAAACCCGGGGAACUGAAACAUCUAAGUACCCGGAGGAGGAGAAAACAAAAGUGAUUCCGAUAGUAGCGGCGAGCGAAAUCGGAUUAGUCCAAACCAAUACCGUUUCGGCGGUGUUGGGGUUGUAGGACCACGAUAUUCGGAAUGCGAUGAACUGGAACAAGUUGGAAAUCUUGACCAUAGCGGGUGAUAGUCCCUUACAGGCAAAGAGCAUCGAGAUAGUGGUAUCCUGAGUAGUGCGGGGCACGUGAAACCCUGUAUGAAUCCGGCGGGACCAUCCGCCAAGACUAAAUACUCCUGAGAGACCGAUAGUGAACCAGUACCGUGAGGGAAAGGUGAAAAGAACCGUGAAUAACGGAGUGAAAUAGAU